UACGUAGGGGGCAAGCGUUGUCCGGAAUCAUUGGGCGUAAAGAGCGUGUAGGCGGCCCGGUAAGUCCGCUGUGAAAGUCCAGGGCUCAACCCUGGGAUGCCGGUGGAUACUGUCGGGCUCGAGUCCGGAAGAGGAGAGUGGAAUUCCUGGUGUAGCGGUGAAAUGCGCAGAUAUCAGGAAGAACACCAAUGGCGAAGGCAGCUCUCUGGGACGGUACUGACGCUGAGACGCGAAAGCGUGGGGAGCGAACAGG
rnacentral:rRNA from 1 species